rnacentral:rRNA from 1 species
UACGGAGGGUGCAAGCGUUGUCCGGAAUCACUGGGCGUAAAGGGCGCGUAGGCGGCUCAUGAAGGCUGUGGUGAAAGUCCGGGGCUCAACCUCGGAUCGGCCGUGGCGACUCGUGGGCUGGAGCACUGUAGAGGCGGGUGGAAUUCCUGGUGUAGCGGUGGAAUGCGUAGAGAUCCGGAAGAACACCAGUGGCGAAGGCGGCCCGCUGGGCAGGGGCUGACGCUGAGGCGCGACAGCGUGGGGAGCAAACAGG